AAUUAUUGAAUAAAGGCUUUAUCUGGUCGACGAAGAGUGCUUUCUGCAUAUUACUAGAGCCUAAACGCACUGAAAUGAAAUUAAACCGCUAAUGAGCCAUAGGGCAGAUGUGCUAACAAGCAAUCUGUUGCACUGCUCAACCCAUUUUGCCUUUUGCUUUUCGCUUUCAGGCCUGAGCUUGCUGGAUAGCACUAUGUCAAUUAGUCUGAACGUUAAAUUGUACUUUUGUAAACUGAGCUUGUUUGUGCAAGACAAUGAGAUUUUUUUAUAAUAUUGUUUAAAUUAAGGUAGUAUUCGGUAUGUAAAUGAAUUUUAUGAAACUUUA
rnacentral:misc_RNA from 1 species